rnacentral:rRNA from 1 species
UUAGGUCAGCGGCGGACGGGUGAGUAACACGUGGGUAACCUGCCUGUAAGACUGGGAUAACUCCGGGAAACCGGGGCUAAUACCGGAUGCUUGAUUGAGCCGCAUGGUUCAAUUAUAAAAGGUGGCUUUCAGCUACCACUUACAGAUGGACCCGCGGCGCAUUAGCUAGUUGGUGAGGUAACGGCUCACCAAGGCGACGAUGCGUAGCCGACCUGAGAGGGUGAUCGGCCACACUGGGACUGAGACACGGCCCAGACUCCUACGGGAGGCAGCAGUAGGGAAUCUUCCGCAAUGGACGAAAGUCUGACGGAGCAACGCCGCGUGAGUGAUGAAGGUUUUCGGAUCGUAAAACUCUGUUGUUAGGGAAGAACAAGUACCGUUCGAAUAGGGCGGCACCUUGACGGUACCUAACCAGAAAGCCACGGCUAACUACGUGCCAGCAGCCGCGGUAAUACGUAGGUGGCAAGCGUUGUCCGGAAUUAUUGGGCGUAAAGCGCGCGCAGGCGGUUUCUUAAAGUCUGAUGUGAAAGCCCCCGGCUCAACCGGGGAGGGUCAUUGGAAACUUGGGGAACUUGAGUGCAGAAGAGG